rnacentral:rRNA from 1 species
GGCCUCCCGGGUAACCUACCACCCUUUGUUUAUUACACUUUGUUGCUUUGGCAAGCCUGCCCUCGGGCUGCUGGCUCCGGCCGGCGAGCGCUUGCCAGAGGACCUAAACUCUGUUUGUCUAUACUGUCUGAGUACUAUAUAAUAGUUAAAACUUUCAACAACGGAUCUCUUGGUUCUGGCAUCGAUGAAGAACGCAGCGAAAUGCGAUAAGUAAUGUGAAUUGCAGAAUUCAGUGAAUCAUCGAAUCUUUGAACGCACAUUGCGCCCCCUGGUAUUCCGGGGGGCAUGCCUGUCCGAGCGUCAUUACAACCCUCAAGCUCAGCUUGGUGUUGGGCCCCGCCGCCCCGGCGGGCCCUAAAGUCAGUGGCGGUGCCGUCCGGCUCCGAGCGUAGUAAUUCUUCUCGCUCUGGAGGCCCGGUCGUGUGCUCGCCAGCAACCCCCAAUUUUUUUCAGGUUGACCUCGGAUCAGGUAGGGAUACCCGCUGAACUUAAGCAUAUCAAUAA